GUGAAAUUAGGAACUGCAGAAAUACCUUUAUAAGAAUCAUGUACCAAACACACCCCAUUUUUUUUCCCCUAAAUACAAACGAUUUGCUCAUCUCCGAGAAGCUAGCAGUGAUAUUAUAAUUCUUUAUAUUCCAGGUCUCCUGUAUAGGCACUCCGGAGCAUGGGAGAAUUUAUCUCUGGUGUUUUUCAGGGGCUGAGUUCACCUCCUUCAUCAGAGUCCCCUCUGUGGAUCUGAACUGCCUCAUGGGAGGAAGCGGGGACUGCAUGUCCAGGUUAUUCAGAGAGCACAGUCAGUUGAACUGGAAAAAAUUGAAAAUCAUAUUCAGUCCUCCAAAGACAAGGAAAAUGCCAAGUCUCUGGACAAACCUGAGGAGAUAAAGAAUCAGAUAGAUUUGGAUUUCCCUGGAUGUUACUCUCCUCAUUUGUAAAAUGAGAUUAAUAACAGCUAACCUACUGGGCUCAUGUGAGUAUUAGGGUGUCUGGUAUCCAUCCAUCCGUCCAUCCACCCAUCCAUCCAUCUAUCCAUUCAUCCAUUUAAAACACACUCAUUCACUUUUUAAAUAUUGUUUAAGUAUCUAAAAUGGGUCUGGUCUGAUGCUUGUCAUUUAGGAUAGGUAUCUGAACUCUAGACUUCAUUGUCA
rnacentral:lncRNA from 1 species